GGACCUGCUCCUGUGUCUGCCCCUCUUCCUCUUGCAAUUUGUUUAGCUCAUCCAUUUAAAUGCUGACCUCAGCAGAACCGUUGUCCUCUGUGUCCAUGGAGACAUAGAGGAUGGAGCAUGUGGAGGCCCCUCUACAGAACAUCAGAAGCCUUUAGCCUGGUACAGUUAUGCAGCAAGAUUGGUGACAAAUUUCCAGCCACACUGAUAGUCCACUUUUAAAGGAUGCAUACUUCCUCCUAUUUAUCUUGGAUUUCAUGUGAGAAAGCCUCUGGAGGCACAGAUGACUGAAUGCUGCAAGCAAGGCUAACACUGCUUUUCCAGGAUUGGCAGACGUCAGAAACACUUGAAAUCUGGUCAGAAACUUCCAUCUCAUGACAUUUCUUCAAACCUGGGAGCUCUGCAUAACUUGUUCAACAUCUUCAAGCACAGCUUAGCUUUCAGACCCUGACCUUGUCUAGAAAAAGUCCAGUGACUCAAGCAAUCUCCCAGGAGGCAGGAAACCCACCUCCAGUUCCCUCCUCUGCCUCAGAGCUUGGACCACCUCAGAUGAUCCCGUCCCAGAGUACCCAGGAAGGCAGUGGGUACUUGAGAAUGCAGAUUUGGUGUGAACCACUCAAACUAGUCCCCAGGCUUUAGCAGGGCAGCUGAACAGGGAACAAUCACAGAAGGUUCUGCAGAGCCCUGGCACUUGUACGUCACCUCGUCAAACACAUUCUCCUAACUCUGAACUUAAUUUUACCACCCGUUUAUUAAUUACAGACUUCCUAAUCAAGCACCAGCAAACAAGGCAUUAAAU